rnacentral:rRNA from 1 species
AGUCUUGUACUUCGGCGUCGAGCGGCGGACGGGUGAGUAAUGCUUGGGAAUAUGCCCUUUGGUGGGGGACAACAGUUGGAAACGACUGCUAAUACCGCAUAAUGUUUACGGACCAAAGCGGGGGAUUCUUCGGAACCUCGUGCCAAAAGAUUAGCCCAAGUGAGAUUAGCUAGUUGGUGGGGUAAUGGCCUACCAAGGCGACGAUCUCUAGCUGGUUUGAGAGGAUGAUCAGCCACACUGGGACUGAGACACGGCCCAGACUCCUACGGGAGGCAGCAGUGGGGAAUAUUGCACAAUGGGGGAAACCCUGAUGCAGCCAUGCCGCGUGUGUGAAGAAGGCCUUCGGGUUGUAAAGCACUUUCAGUCGUGAGGAAAGGGGUGUAGCUAAUAUCUGCAUCCUGUGACGUUAGCGACAGAAGAAGCACCGGCUAACUCCGUGCCAGCAGCCGCGGUAAUACGGAGGGUGCGAGCGUUAAUCGGAAUUACUGGGCGUAAAGCGUGCGUAGGCGGUUUGAUAAGCCAGAUGUGAAAUCCCGGGGCUUAACCUCGGAACUGCAUUUGGAACUGUUUGACUAGAGUACUGUAGAGGGUGGUGGAAUUUCCAGUGUAGCGGUGAAAUGCGUAGAGAUUGGAAGGAACAUCAGUGGCGAAGGCGGCCACCUGGACAGAUACUGACGCUGAGGCACGAAAGCGUGGGGAGCGAACAGGAUUAGAUACCCUGGUAGUCCACGCCGUAAACGAUGUCAACUAGCUGUUUGUGUUCUUGAAACGUGAGUAGCGUAGCUAACGCGCUAAGUUGACCGCCUGGGGAGUACGGCCGCAAGGUUAAAACUCAAAUGAAUUGACGGGGGCCCGCACAAGCGGUGGAGCAUGUGGGUUUAUUCGAUGCAACGCGAGAACCUUACCAUCCCUUGACAUCCGAGA